rnacentral:RNase_P_RNA from 1 species
AGAGUAGGCGCAGGUGGUUGCGGACUCGUUCAUACCGAGUCUGAGGAAAGUCCGGACUCCCGAAAGACCAAACUUGCUGGGUAACGCCCAGUGCGGGCGACCGUGAGGAUAGUGCCACAGAAAGAUACCGCCAAGCAAUUUUGGAUUUUAGAUUCAAAAUUGCUUGGUAAGGGUGCAAAGGUGCGGUAAGAGCGCACCAGCAGCGUCGAGAGUCGCUGGCUCGGUAAACCCCGGUUGGGAGCAAGGUAGGAACCACGGUUGGUCUUUUCCCGGUUCCGCUAAUUUAACCGCUUGAGGCAUCUGGUAACAGGUGUCCCAGAUAGAUAACUGCCCUCCUGGCGGCACAGCUGCUAGGUAGAACAGAACCCGGCUUAUGUCCGACUCUCUCC